rnacentral:rRNA from 1 species
AAUGAACGCUGGCGGCAGGCCUAAAACAUGCAAGUCGAACGCCCUAGCAAUAGGGAGUGGCGCACGGGUGAGUAACAUGUGGGAAUAUGCUUUUUGGUACGGAACAACGUUUGGAAACGAACGCUAAUACCGUAUGGUCCCUCCGGGGUAAAGAUUUAUCGCCAAAAGAUUAGCCCGCACUAGAUUAGCUAGUUGGUAAGGUAAUGGCUUACCAAGGCGACGAUCUAUAGCUGUUCUGAGAGGAAGAUCAGCCACACUGGGACUGAGACACGGCCCAGACUCCUACGGGAGGCAGCAGUGGGGAAUAUUGGACAAUGGGCGAAAGCCUGAUCCAGCCAUGCCGCGUGUGUGAAGAAGGUCUUCGGAUUGUAAAGCACUUUAAGUUGGGAGGAAGAGUUGUAAGCUAAUAUCUUGCAGCUUUGACGUUACCAACAGAAUAAGCACCGGCUAACUCUGUGCCAGCCGCCGCAGUAAGAC